rnacentral:rRNA from 1 species
CACAUGAGGUGAAGCCGAAAGUCGGUUUCGGCUGACACUUACAGAUGGGCCCGCGGCGCAUUAGCUAGUUGGUGAGGUAACGGCUCACCAAGGCGACGAUGCGUAGCCGACCUGAGAGGGUGAUCGGCCACACUGGGACUGAGACACGGCCCAGACUCCUACGGGAGGCAGCAGUAGGGAAUCUUCCGCAAUGGACGAAAGUCUGACGGAGCAACGCCGCGUGAGUGAUGAAGGCCUUCGGGUCGUAAAACUCUGUUGUUAGGGAAGAACAAGUAUCGGAGUAACUGCCGGUACCUUGACGGUACCUAACCAGAAAGCCACGGCUAACUACGUGCCAGCAGCCGCGGUAAUACGUAGGUGGCAAGCGUUGUCCGGAAUUAUUGGGCGUAAAGCGCGCGCA